UGCAGUCGAACGAUGAACUGGAGCUUGCUCCAGGAAUUAGUGGCGAACGGGUGAGUAACACGUGAGUAACCUGCCCUUGACUCUGGGAUAAGCGCUAGAAAUGGCGUCUAAUACCGGAUACGAGCUUCAGCCGCAUGGCUAGGAGUUGGAAAGAAUUUUGGUCAAGGAUGGACUCGCGGCCUAUCAGCUAGUUGGUGAGGUAAUGGCUCACCAAGGCGACGACGGGUAGCCGGCCUGAGAGGGUGACCGGCCACACUGGGACUGAGACACGGCCCAGACUCCUACGGGAGGCAGCAGUGGGGAAUAUUGCACAAUGGGCGAAAGCCUGAUGCAGCAACGCCGCGUGAGGGAUGACGGCCUUCGGGUUGUAAACCUCUUUUAGUAGGGAAGAAGCGAAAGUGACGGUACCUGCAGAAAAAGCACCGGCUAACUACGUGCCAGCAGCCGCGGUAAUACGUAGGGUGCAAGCGUUGUCCGGAAUUAUUGGGCGUAAAGAGCUCGUAGGCGGUUUGUCGCGUCUGCUGUGAAAUCUGGGGGCUCAACCCCCAGCCUGCAGUGGGUACGGGCAGACUAGAGUGCGGUAGGGGAGAUUGGAAUUCCUGGUGUAGCGGUGGAAUGCGCAGAUAUCAGGAGGAACACCGAUGGCGAAGGCAGAUCUCUGGGCCGUAACUGACGCUGAGGAGCGAAAGCAUGGGGAGCGAACAGGAUUAGAUACCCUGGUAGUCCAUGCCGUAAACGUUGGGAACUAGAUGUGGGGGCCAUUCCACGGUCUCCGUGUCGCAGCUAACGCAUUAAGUUCCCCGCCUGGGGAGUACGGCCGCAAGGCUAAAACUCAAAGGAAUUGACGGGGGCCCGCACAAGCGGCGGAGCAUGCGGAUUAAUUCGAUGCAACGCGAAGAACCUUACCAAGGCUUGACAUAUACCGGAAACGUCCAGAGAUGGUCGCCCCGCAAGGUCGGUAUACAGGUGGUGCAUGGUUGUCGUCAGCUCGUGUCGUGAGAUGUUGGGUUAAGUCCCGCAACGAGCGCA
rnacentral:rRNA from 1 species